GGGGAAUUAGCUCAGUGGUAGAGCGCUUGCCUAGCAAACACAAGGUCCUGGGUUCGGUCCCCAGCUCCCA
rfam:Rattus norvegicus chromosome 6, whole genome shotgun sequence.